UACGUAGGUGGCAAGCGUUGUCCGGAUUUACUGGGCGUAAAGGAUGCGUAGGCGGAUGUUUAAGUGAGAUGUGAAAUACCCGAGCUCAACUUGGGUGCUGCAUUUCAAACUGGAUAUCUAGAGUGCAGGAGAGGAAAGCGGAAUUCCUAGUGUAGCGGUGAAAUGCGUAGAUAUCAAGUGGAACACCAGUGGCGAAGGCGAGUCUCUGGACAUUUCCUGACGCUGAGGCACGAAAGCCAGGGGAGCAAACGGG
rnacentral:rRNA from 1 species